rnacentral:misc_RNA from 1 species
UACAGAGGCCUCAAGCGUUAUCCGGAAUCAUUGGGUUUAAAGGGUCCGUAGGCGGGUGCGUAAGUCAGUGGUGAAAGUCUGCAGCUUAACUGUAGAACUGCCAUUGAUACUGUUGACCUUGAGUAAUUAUGAAGUGGUUAGAAUAUGUAGUGUAGCGGUGAAAUGCAUAGAUAUUACAUAGAAUACCGAUUGCGAAGGCAGAUCACUAAUAAUUCACUGACGCUGAGGGACGAAAGCGUAGGUAGCGAACAGG